GACAGAGGGGGCAAGCGUUGCUCGGAAUUACUGGGCGUAAAGGGCACGUAGGCGGGAUGGCAAGUCGGUCGUGAAAUCCCUCGGCUCAACUGAGGAUCGUCGAUCGAUACUGCCGUUCUUGAGGAUUGCAGAGGAGACUGGAAUUCCCGGUGUAGCGGUGAAAUGUGUAGAUAUCGGGAGGAACACCAGUGGCGAAAGCGGCUACCUGGCCCAUUCUUGACGCUGAGGCGCGAAAGCUAGGGGAGCAAACGGG
rnacentral:rRNA from 1 species